AUGGCGCCGAAGGGCAAGUCAGGCUUCUUCGGCGUGAGGCAGAAGCCCUCCGGUAACUGGGGUGUGGAGUUCUCCGACGCCGGAAGGCGUUGGUGGAUCGGCACGUACCCCUCCGCCCACGAGGCCGCGCGUGCCUACGACAUGGCGGUGUGGCGUGCCGAGAGGCCUCGGUCGCACCUCAACUUCCCAGAGAUCGAGACUCGGGCGGAAGCGGAGAUGCUUGUGCCGCAGGGCAUCAACAUGAAGGAGAUCACGACGAAGAAGAAGACGAAGAAGCCGUCGGUUGUCGUCAGUGCUGGCGAGACCGAGGAGGUGGCGAUGGCGAGGUUUGCUCGGGAGCAUCCGGAGUACAUCCAGGCCGAGCUGGAGUACUACUGGAAGUGUGAGGCGGAGCAGAAGAAGAAGGGGCCGAAGAAGGAGGACGAGGCCGGUCCCUCGACGGUGAUCCCCAUCGACUCCUCUUCCGAGGAGGACUGGGCAGACUUCUCGAACGAGGAGGAGGAGGAGGAGGAGGGGUGCGACGACCCGACGAAGGAGGAGUUCUCGGCGCAGUUCCGCAGCUCCGACGAUGAGGAGUAG
rnacentral:rRNA from 1 species